GAUACUUUCUCUCUCUCUCUCUAUAUAUAUAUAUAUACUUUUUUAUUUUUUAAAGAAAUUUUAACUUUUUUUUUCUAUAAAAUACUUGUACUUUUCUUCAAAAAAAAACAUGAAAAAAAAGUAUAUAAAAUGACCAAAAGGCAAAGUAAAGAAUUUCUCCUAUAAAAAAUAGAAUUAUAUCAAAGGAUGAGAUUUUAAGAAACCCAACAAUCUAAUCUUCACCGUCCAUUGUAAAAAAAGAGUGAAAGAGUAAAAAACAAGACACAAAUUAAACUCAGCCAGUUAGCCCUAACACACCUCCCUCUUGCACGCCUCUGUCUUCUUUCUCCAAUCUCCCUUCUCUCUCCAAUCUCCAUCGACAUUCAUUUAAUCAUCUCCACGCUGAAGGAGGGAGUUCAGGCGACUGUGGCAGCUUCAACUCACCACGCUCCCGAACACCACGACAACGACAAGCGAUAGGAAUUCCCUCACACCACCACCACCUCACCUCGGCGCCCAUUCUUAGUUUGUUGGAAGUUGGAAUGCAUAUAGGUAGCUGGAAGUGGGAACUGAAUUUGAGUCCGAGUUCGAUCUUGAAAAUUUGAAACUCGCGAGUUUUCGAGUCGAGUCGAGUUUAGCUAUGAGUUUUCGAGUUCAAGUCGAGUUUAGUCAAACUCGAGCUCGACUCACAUCAUUGCCAACCUUACUUGUACCUAUCAGAUUGAACAUUAAACAAAUUACCUAGGUUUUUUUCUGUUAAAUUUCACCAAUUUCCCAUUAACAACACUCAUACACAUGCCAUCAGAAUUUUCAAAUUUUGAACAUAACUCACCCAUUUCAGCCUCAAACAGACCCUCAUCAGAACACAAAAUUUUAGACCAUUUUUGAAAUUCAACAAAAUCAAGAUUCACUCCAUUUUACUUUCUUGCACCAUGCAAGAUCAACACAUAAUCCUAUCAUGUAUUUUGAAGAUUUUGAUUUCUUACCCCUUUUUAUCAGCAUAUUAAUGAUCUUUUCUUGCUCUGUUUCUUCCUCACUGGCUGCUUCUUUCUUUGGAGAAAUUUCUUCAUUUUCGGAUGAUUGCUCAAGAGAAUUGUCGGUUUCUUCAUUGGAAUUUGAAGAUUAAUUGUUGCUCUCUUCAUAUUCAACCAAAGGUGAAGAUUUUUUAGCAUGAAAAUUUGAUGGGGUUUGGUUUCUUCGGAAGUUUUGCGUUUUGGAGCCAUUGAUGAAGCUUGGAGAAGGGCGAAGAAGAUAAGUAGUUUUGAGAGUUGAUGGUUUGGGUGAAAAGUAAGACUUGCCGUGUAAAGAGAGAUGAUAUGACAGAGUUUUUAUGUAGGGGUAGAUUUAUGGGUUUUAAGAGAUGAUUAGUGAAGGCUUUUCACUUUCCUCUUAAUCCAUUGUAUUUUAACUUUGGCUUUGAACUUAGACUGAUGUGAUGCAUUGCAUUGUUUUAGAGAUA